rnacentral:rRNA from 1 species
CAAAAACAUGGUUUUUUGUUUAUAAUUUAAGAUUUAAUCUGCCCACUGAUUAUUUAAAGGGCCGCAGUAUAUUGACUGUGCAAAGGUAGCAUAAUCAUUUGUCUCUUAAUUGGUGACUAGUAUGAAUGAUUGGACGAGAUAAUUACUGUCUCAUUUUUAAUUUUAAUAAAAUUUUAUUUUUAAGUUAAAAAGCUUAAAUAAUUUUUAAGGACGAGAAGACCCUAUAGAGUUUUAUUAAUUUAAUAAAAAUUUUUAUUUUUGUAUAUAAAUUAUUUUUAUAAAAAUUAAUUUGGUUGGGGUGAUUAAAAAAUUUAUAAAACUUUUUAAAAAUUUUAUCAAUAAAUUUUGUUUAUUUUGAUCCAGAAAUUUUGAUUAUUUGAUUAAAUUACCUUAGGGAUAACAGCGUUAUUAUUUUGGAAAGUUCAUAUUUAUAAAAUAGUUUGCGACCUCGAUGUUGAAUUAAGAUGAAAUUUUGGGGUAGUAUUUAAAAUUUUUAGUCUGUUCGACUAUUAAAUUCUUACAUGAUCUGAGUCCAAACCA